rnacentral:piRNA from 2 species
UAUACUGACUCCAAAUAUGCCUUUACGGUGUU